CAGUCGCCGCGGUAAUACGUAGGGGGCAAGCGUCGUCCGGAAUCAUUGGGCGUAAAGAGCGUGUAGGCGGCUCGGUAAGUCCGCUGUGAAAGUCCAGGGCUCAACCCUGGAAUGCCGGUGGAAACUGUCGAGCUAGAGUCCGGAAGAGGCGAGUGGAAUUCCUGGUGUAGCGGUGAAAUGCGCAGAUAUCAGGAGGAACACCAAUGGCGAAGGCAGCUCGCUGGGACGGUACUGACGCUGAGAGGCGAAAGCGUGGGGAGCAAACAGGAUUAGAUACCCCCGUAGUCCCUGUCUCUUAUAC
rnacentral:rRNA from 1 species